rnacentral:rRNA from 1 species
GCCAGCAGCCAUAUCACUCUGCACCUCACAAAUGGCAGCCCACUGAGCCUGGCCAGUACCUGGAUGGGAGACCUCCUGGGAAAAACUAAGGUUGCUGCUGGUA